AUUGAACGCUGGCGGCAUGCCUUACACAUGCAAGUCGAACGGUAACAGGUCUUCGGAUGCUGACGAGUGGCGAACGGGUGAGUAAUACAUCGGAACGUGCCUAGUAGUGGGGGAUAACUACUCGAAAGAGUGGCUAAUACCGCAUGAGAUCUACGGAUGAAAGCAGGGGAUCGCAAGACAUUGCGCUACUAGAGCGGCCGAUGGCAGAUUAGGUAGUUGGUGGGAUAAAAGCUUACCAAGCCGACGAUCUGUAGCUGGUCUGAGAGGACGAUCAGCCACACUGGGACUGAGACACGGCCCAGACUCCUACGGGAGGCAGCAGUGGGGAAUUUUGGACAAUGGGCGCAAGCCUGAUCCAGCAAUGCCGCGUGCAGGAUGAAGGCCUUCGGGUUGUAAACUGCUUUUGUACGGAACGAAAAGCCCCGGGUUAAUACCCUGGGGUCAUGACGGUACCGUAAGAAUAAGCACCGGCUAACUACGUGCCAGCAGCCGCAGUAA
rnacentral:rRNA from 1 species